UACGAAGGGGGCUAGCGUUGUUCGGAAUUACUGGGCGUAAAGCGUGCGCAGGCGGUUAUGUAAGACAGAUGUGAAAUGCCCGGGCUUAACCUGGGAACUGCAUUUGUGACUGCAUGGCUAGAGUUUGGCAGAGGGGGGUAGAAUUCCACGUGUAGCAGUGAAAUGCGUAGAUAUGUGGAGGAACACCGAUGGCGAAGGCAGCCCCCUGGGGUCAAGACUGACGCUCAUGCACGAAAGCGUGGGGAGCAAACAGG
rnacentral:rRNA from 1 species